rnacentral:rRNA from 1 species
GUGAUGAAUAUUGGUCAAUGGGCGGGAGCCUGAACCAGCCAAGUCGCGUGAAGGAAGAAGGAUCUAUGGUUCGUAAACUUCUUUUGCAGGGGAAUAAAGUGCAGGACGUGUCCUGUUUUGUAUGUACCCUGAGAAUAAGGAUCGGCUAACUCCGUGCCAGCAGCCGCGGUAAUACGGAGGAUCCGAGCGUUAUCCGGAUUUAUUGGGUUUAAAGGGUGCGUAGGUGGUUUGAUAAGUCAGCGGUGAAAGUUUGCAGCUUAACUGGAAAAAUGCCGUUGAAACUGUCGGACUUGAGUGUAAAUGAGGUAGGCGGAAUGCGUGGUGUAGCGGUGAAAUGCAUAGAUAUCACGCAGAACUCCGAUUGCGAAGGCAGCUUACUAAGCUACAACUGACACUGAAGCACGAAAGCGUGGGGAUCAAACAGGAUUAGAAACCCUGGUAGUCC